rnacentral:miRNA from 1 species
UAGAUGAUUGGGGGCGGCGUAUC